rnacentral:rRNA from 1 species
UACGUAGGGUGCAAGCGUUGUCCGGAAUUAUUGGGCGUAAAGAGCUCGUAGGCGGUUUGUCGCGUCUGCUGUGAAAACUCGGGGCUUAACUCCGGGCCUGCAGUGGGUACGGGCAGACUAGAGUGCGGUAGGGGAGACUGGAAUUCCUGGUGUAGCGGUGAAAUGCGCAGAUAUCAGGAGGAACACCGGUGGCGAAGUCGGGUCUCUGGGCCGUCUCUGACGCUGAGGAGCGUAAGCGUGGGGAGCGAACAGG